ensembl:lncRNA
GUGAGUACCUCCCAGAUGGAGUGCUCUUGGUGUCUCCGUUCUCUGCCUGGUCCCAGCACCUGUUUUUCCUUUAUUUCACUCAUGCUUGUUAAGACAGAUAGGGUUUUUGUUAAGAUUCUUUUUCUUUGGCCUCUGCAGCUGCCAUUUGUGUUUUUGACCUGAGAAUGAUGUGACAGACCAGAGAGAGGGUGACCGAGGUUUCUUUGCAUUUAUUUGAGCCUUUUUCACUCUGAUUACUGGGGUUAGCUAGGAUGUAUAACAUACACAUAUUCCAAGGCCUCAGUGGUGAAAGCAGGUGUAGGACUCUGAGCUUCAUUGUUUAAAAAGUGUAUAAUUUAGGGUCCUUUUAUUGCAAGGUACAGAUAUUAACCUGGAAACUCACAAGGGAAAAAUGCAAUUAAGUGAAGGAUAUGUAGUAGUCAUUUAGUAAAAGCCAAAGCUGAAGACCAAGUAUAGGAGAGUGCUGGAACCCGAGAACUUAAGUAGCAGGAAGUAAUGGACAGUCUCUUUAGGGAAGUACUAGUGUUUUCUCUUCAAUUUAUGUCCCUGUUCUGUUCAGGAUUAAAAUUCCCUUGAAAAUCUGGUGGACCCAGCUUGGGCCCUAUACCCAGCUCUUGGCUGGGUGAGGGUGAGAAGCCUUAACUGAUAGUCCUUCUAAAACUGUCCACAGCAAGGGAAGAGAGCAAAGUGCAGCAGCAGCAGAGUGACGAGGUCGGGACAGGCUAAAUCAGCAGCUGCUCAUCACAGCUGAAAGGGCCCGGGCUCCCUAGAAAGAGAUGUCCAGCGCCCCAGUCUUACACUGGUUCUUGUCAUUAUUACAAAGUGGCAGGGGAGCCUGCUAUGGACUGAAUGUUUGUGGCCCCCCCCCCAUUCUUAUGUUGAAGCCCUAAGCCCAACACGAUGGUUUUUGGAGGUGAGGCCUUUGGGAGGUAAUUAGGGUUAGAUGAGGCCAUGUGGGUGGGACCUCACAAGGGGAUGAAUGCCCUUAUAAAACAAAGAUUGGAAAUGAGAUCUUUCUCUCCCCCUACGUGUACACAUCGACGAAAGGCCACGUGAGGACAUAAGGAGAAGAUGGCCAUCUGAAACCGGGAAGAGAGGUCUCAAUGACUCCGAAUCCACCAGCACCGUGAUCUUGGACUUCCCAGCCUCCUUGGAAGGGUCCCUGGACUCUCCCAGAACUGUGAGAACAGCCAGAUGGACUCCAUGUUGCCUCCUUUGGAAGGAAGACGAACCCCAGUUAUCCUUCUGCACAGCAAACUGAUCACUGAGAACAAUCAGGUUUGCAGAUUCCACCCCGGCUGAGAGGAGAGCCUACGUGGGGUACAGGGUUGGCAAAGACUCUAGCUUCCCAGGCUUUGAAGAUUUUUCUUGAGUGGCUAGAAACACCAGAGGAGAAGGUGAUGCCUCUCCCACACCCCUGUUUCUCAGCCCCUCUGAUAAAAUCACUCCCUUCAGCUGCAGACAGGCUCUAUCAAGUCUUAGCAGGCCUCGUGUGUAUUAUUUAUUUGAUUAAAAAAAUUGUGUCAUUUGGUUUUAAGGAGCCUCUGGGAAUGAGCAUAAUUAAGCAUAGAUUAAAAUGUCUGAAAGACUGAAAACCAC